AUAAAUUGGUCAAACUUUCUUU
rnacentral:snRNA from 1 species